rnacentral:rRNA from 1 species
UACGUAGGGUGCAAGCGUUGUCCGGAAUUAUUGGGCGUAAAGAGCUCGUAGGCGGUCUGUCGCGUCUGCUGUGAAAACUCAGGGCUUAACCCUGAGCUUGCAGUGGGUACGGGCAGACUAGAGUGCGGUAGGGGAGACUGGAAUUCCUGGUGUAGCGGUGAAAUGCGCAGAUAUCAGGAGGAACACCGGUGGCGAAGGCGGGUCUCUGGGCCGUAACUGACGCUGGAGGAGCGAAAGCGUCGGGGAGCGAACAGGAUUAGA